UCCAGCAAUGAUGUACGGGUAAAACUCAAAUAAGAAGAUCCAAACUGAAAGUUCAACUGAAGAGCUUCGAUUUGCAAAAAGAAUCAAUCGAAUCGGAGCUACGGAACUGAAACUACGGUCAAAAAAACUUCGAAUUCAAAUCUGCUUGAAACCAAAUUUUAAAUUGUCAAAACCUUGUUCAAGUUGAUUAAACGGAAAGAGGGGCUCGAGAUGAAGAUUUUGGCGUUGGUUUCACUUGAUUUGGACGAACGGUUGAAAAGUUGCGAGGGUUUGAAGAUCAGGGGCUAAUCUGUGAUAAAAAUAAUCGCGGAUAGGUCCCUGGCCGAAAAAACAGAAAAAGAAAAAUCUAUCGGACGAACGUCCGCUAACAGAGGCAAACGGGCGAAUUCGUUCUUUAAAACGAAUGAAUGAACGAACGAACGCUCGCUAAACGAACUAAACCGAGAACACCGAACCGAUCUAACAGGAAAAAAACUAAUCUAGUUUUUUUAAAAACCGAUCGGUUUUUUUACCUAAACCAGAAAAAAAACAACGGCGGCGGCUCGGAUCUGGCGGCGGCGGCGCGAGGCGGGCGACGGCGCGGCGGGGCAGCGGGCGGCACGCGCGGNNNNNNNNNNNNNNNNNNNNNNNNNNNNNNNNNNNNNNNNNNNNNNNNNNNNNNNNNNNNNNNNNNNNNNNNNNNNNNNNNNNNNNNNNNNNNNNNNNNNNNNNNNNNNNNNNNNNNNNNNNNNNNNNNNNNNNNNNNNNNNNNNNNNNNNNNNNNNNNNNNNNNNNNNNNNNNNNNNNNNNNNNNNNNNNNNNNNNNNNNNNNNNNNNNNNNNNNNNNNNNNNNNNNNNNNNNNNNNNNNNNNNNNNNNNNNNNNNNNNNNNNNNNNNNNNNNNNNNNNNNNNNNNNNNNNNNNNNNNNNNNNNNNNNNNNNNNNNNNNNNNNNNNNNNNNNNNNNNNNNNNNNNNNNNNNNNNNNNNCCGGAGUCCGGCUUGGGCACAUGGGCGAGCGGGGGAAGGCGGUGGCGCGCGACGGGUCGGCUGGGCUUCGGCCGAGUUCGGUCCGGGAGUUUUUUUUAAAUAGAUUCCGCCGAAGAAAAAUCCUAAAAAAAUAUAAAAAAAUCUAAAAAAAUGCCAAAAACAAUUUUCACCGUCUAAAAAAAAUAUUUAGAACUUAGUGAAAUUUUUCUUGGCCUAAAAAUGCUAUUUUGAAAAAUGCAUAUUUUUCUAAUUCAAAUAAAAUAGCAAUAAAAUCCAAAUAAAAUUAUUUAUUUGGUUUUAACAUUUUUGCUCCAAUAUUUCGUUCAGUUUGGAGAAGUCAUAUUAUCUCCUCUUAUUUAUUUUUAUAUUGGAAAUAUUUUUUUCUAAGAGAAAAAUAAUUAAAACCAAAGUGAUCCAUUUCUCAAUAUUUGAGAAAAUUUCAAAUAUGAAAAUAAUAAAAUCCCCAACUCUCUCCGUGGGUCCUUGAGUUGCUUAGGGUUUUUAGGAUCACUAAACCAAAAUGCAAAUAAAAUAUGAUAUGCAUAUGAUGACCUAUGUAUAACAUUCCAAAUUGAAAUUUGGGAUGUUACAAACCUACCCCCCUUAAGGUGAAUCUCGCCCUCGAGAUUCGGGUUGGCUAGAAAAUAGGCGUGGGUCGUCUUUCCUUAGAUCAUCCUCUCGUUCCCAGGUGGCUUCAUCCUCUGUAUGGUGGCUCCACUGAACUUUGCAAAACUUGAUAACCUUGUUGCGGGUAACUCGGCUGGCAAACUCGAGAAUCUUGACUGGUUUCUCCUCGUAGGUCAAAUCACUAUCUAACUGAAUUGCUUCCAGGGGCACUGUAUCUCUCAGAGGGAUAUCGGCCAUCUCCGCAUGGCACUUCUUCAACUGGGAAAUCUGAAACACAUCGUGAACUCCUGACAGUCCUUUGGGUAACUCCAACUUGUAGGCCACCUCUCCCAUACGUUCCAAAACUCGGUAUGGUCCUACAAAUCUCGGGGCUAACUUUCCCUUAACUCCAAAGCGUUUAACUCCUCACAGAGGUGACACACGAAGUAUGCUCUGUCUCCGAUUUCAUAGACUACCUCCUUGCGCUUGGUAUCGGCAUAACUCUUCUGCCUGGACUAAGCUACCUUCAGUCUAUCCCGAAUCAACUUAACCUUCUCUUCUGACUCUUUGAUCAAAUCUGGUCCAAACAACUGACGGUCUCCAACUUCAUCCCACAUUAACGGUGUCCUGCACCUCCUUCCAUACAAAGUUUCGAAAGGUGCCAUCUUCAAACUAGCCUAGUAGCUGUUGUUGUAGGAGAACUUUGCGUAGGGCAAAUUAUCAUCCCAACUAGAUCCAUAAUCUAGCGCACAAGCUCUCAACAUGUCCUCCACAAUCUGAUUGACUCUCUCGGUCUGUCCAUCUGUCUGCGGAUGAAAGGCUGUACUAAACUCUAGUCUGGUUCCCAAGGUCUGGUGCAGCUGGUGCCAAAACUUUGAAGUAAACUGUGUUCCUCUAUCUGAUACGAUGGUCCUCGGAACUCCAUGCAGACAUACGAUCCUGGUUAUAUAUAUCUUGGGCAACUUCGCACUUGUAUAUGUGGUUUUCACUAGGAUAAAGUGAGCUACUUUGUUCAGACGAUCCACUACUACCCAAAUAGAAUCAUAUCCCGAUUGGGUCCUGGGUAAUCCGGUGAUAAAAUCCAUGCCAAGCUUAUCCCACUUCCACUCGGGUAUCGGCAUAGGCUGCAGUAAUCCUGCUGGCUUUCUGAUGUUCUGCCUUCACUCUUUGACAUACAUGACAUACGGCUACAUACUCGGCAAUAUCCUUCUUCAUACCAGUCCACCAGAAACGCUCCUUUAAAUCCAAAUACAUCUUGGUGUUUCCGGGGUGUAUUGAGUAUGGCGAGUCAUGAGCUUCCUGUAGUAUCAACUUCCUGAUCUCUGCAUUAUUGGGUACAUAUACAUGGUCCUCAAACCACAAGGUGUCGUGCUCAUCCUCACAAAAACCUUUGGCUUUUCCUUUGCUCAUCUUCUCCUUUAUCUCGGCAAUUGCCUUGUCAUCCUUCUGAGCUUCUCGAAUCUUUCCCAAUAAUGUCGAUUGAACUUCCAAUGCUGCAACAAAACCUCUAGGGACUAUCUCCAAACGAAGCUCCCUGAGAUCUUUGGCUAACUCCUUUGGCAAUCCUCCGCUUACGAGGGUAUUGGCAUAACUCUUCCGGCUCAAAGCGUCUACUACGACAUUGGCCUUGCCUGGAUGAUAAUGCAACUUCAUAUCAUAAUCCUUUAUAAGCUCCAACCAUCUCCUUUGCCUGAGAUUCAGCUCCUUCUGUGUGAAAAUAUACUUCAGACUCUUAUGAUCCGUGUACACAUCACAACGAGUUCCAAUAAAAAUGUCUCCAGGUCUUGAGUGCAUGCACUACAACUGCUAGCUCCAAAUCAUGUGUGGCAUAAUUCAACUCAUGCGGUCGAAGCUAACGUGAGGCGUAUGAAAUAACUUUUUCGUCCUGCAUAAGUACACCUCCAAGUCCUAAGCGAGAAGCGUCACAAUACACUUGGAAAUCCUUGCGUAUAUCCGGCAGAAUCAACACUGGGGCUGUAACCAAACGUUUCUUCAGCUCCUGGAAACUUGCCUCACAUUCAUCUGUCCAUUUGAACUUGGUGUCCUUCUUCAACAACUCCGUCAUGGGCUUCGCAAUCUUAGAAAAAUUCUCAAUGAAUCUCCGGUAGUAUCUCGCGAGUCCAAGAAAACUGUGGAUCUCUCCUACUGAGGUGGGUGCCAACCACUCAAUGACUGACUGAACCUUGGUGGGGUCUACUGCUAUACCUUCUCCUGAUAUAACAUGUCCAAGAAAUCCAACUUCCUUCAACCAAAACUCACACUUGCUGAACUUGGCGUAUAACUGAUGUUCCCUGAGCUUCUCGAGAACUAAACGCAAAUGCUUCUUAUGCUCCUCUUCAUUCUUCGAGUAUACCAAGAUAUCAUCAAUGAACCCACGACAAACUUAUCCAAGAACUCCAUGAACACCUUAUUCAUCAUACUCAUGAAAUAGGCAGGGGCAUUAGUCAAUCCAAAUGACAUAACCGUAUACUCAUAUAACCCGUACCUUGUGGUGAAAGUUGUCUUAGGUAUAUCCUGUUCUCGGAUCUUCAGCUGGUGGUAUCCUGAUCGCAGGUCGAUCUUGGAGAAUACUUUAGCUCCUUGUAGCUGGUCAAACAAAUCAUUGAUCAUCGGUAGUGGGUACUUUUUCUUGAGCGUCACUUCAUUCAGUGCCCAAUAGUCAACAACCAUUCUCAAGGAUCCAUCCUUCUUCUCAACCAAAAGCACUUGGGCUCCCCAUGGUGACGAACUUCGUCGAAUGUAACCUUUCUCCAAUAACUCCUUAAUCUGCUUCUUAAUCUCCUCCAGAUCAUUUGCGGGCAUCCGGUAUGGUCCCUUCGAUAUUGGUCCGGUGCCUGGCAACAACUCUAUCAAAAACUCAAUGUCUCGAUCCGGUGGCAUGCCUAGCAGUUCCUCUGGAAAUACAUCUUGGUAAUCCUUCACUACAGGCACUUCCUCCUGAACAACUCCAGAGAGAGAAUUUACUUGGGUCCUCCUUGGCGCAUGCCUGGAUACAUACUUGAUCAUUUUUCCCUCCGGUGUUGUGAGCAGAAUUGACUUACUGGCGCAAUCGAUGUUUCCUCCAUACAUCGAUAGCCAAUGCAUUCCUAGUAUCACAUCCAAACCUUGUGACUCCAAAAUUAUCAGGUCUGAGGGGAAAACAUUGCUUCCAAUGGUCAAUGGCAUCUGAAAACAUCCUUAAGUUGCCAUAUAUUCUGCUCCUGGCGAACUUACUAACAUUGGUGUCCUAAGUACCUUAGUGGGCAACUUAUACUUAUCCACGAAUCCCCUUGAUAUGUAUGAAUGCGAUGCACCAGUAUAAAAAAGAAUGAUUGCAGUAAAUGACUUAACGAAAAACUUACCGAUAACUGCAUCUGGCUGCUCUCCAACCUCCUCCACGUUCACGUGGUUCACUUGUCCCCUGUUGAAAGGGUUGGGCUUCUUCCCAGAGCUUCCAUUGCCAUUUCCAUUCUUUGGUUCAGGACACUCAUUGGCGUAGUGUCCAGUCUUCCCGCACUUAAAACAAGUAAUGUGACUUUGGUCCUUCUUGGCGGGUGUGGCUGGGUUAGAGCGGUUCUGACUACUGCCUGCUCCAUUCCCAUUUCCAUUCUUGGGGCCACUGUGUUUAUGUGAGCUUCCUCCAUUAUGAGUAUGGCCUCCAUGGUUAUGGGUAUAUCCUCCUGAUUUCGGGGUAAAACGAGGCUUCUGCUGAGCUCCUGAAUUGUACUUCCCUUGUCCAUACUUCCUUUUGCAGCUCUCAAUCUGCUGCUGCUUCACUUCAAUCAUAAGAGCCUUGUCUACCAACUCCUGGUAGUUGUUAAAUGUUGCCACCAUUAACUGCAUACUCAUCUCAUCAUUCAGCCCUUCCAUAAACUUCUCCUGCUUAGCGGCAUCUGUGGCCACAUCAUAUGGGGCAUAGCGGGCUAACUUACUAAACUCAUCCACGUACUGCCCCACAGUACGAUUUCUUUGGCGUAAGUUGCAAAACUCACGCUUCUUCAUGCUCAUAGCUCCAGUUGAGACAUGAGCAGUGCGGAAUGCUUGCUGAAACUGCUCCCAAGUGACAUUGGCUAUGGGGAAAGUGGCCGUGUAAUUCUCCCACCACGAGGCCGCGGGUCCAUCCAAUUGAUGUGCGGCAAAACGCACCUUCUCAGCAUCUGUGCAACCUGCGGUGGUCAACUCCCUUCCAAUCCUGCGUAGCCAUUCAUCAGCAACUAUUGGCUCGGUGCUACUGGAAAACAACGAUGGUUGCAACCUCAGAAAACGGGCUAAGUUGUCAACUGGAGGUGGUGGCGGUGGGUGGUUGUUGUUGUUGUUGUUGCCUUGGUUCCGGACUAGUUGUUGUAUCAAUAUAUUCUGCUGUUGGAUCAACUGGGUGAUCUCCAAUGGGAAGACAAAUCCGGUGUCACGUCUCGGAGGCAUCUGAUGGGUUUAGAGGGAGAGAUUAGAAUAGAAUGAGGUCUAGUGAGAAAACACUACCCAUAUGCACAUGAGACAAACACAAUCAUAUCACACCAAUCAAUUCAAACAAGGGCAUACAAUCGAUCUAACUAUCGUACAAAAGUGCUUGGACUACUACUAUAUACAUGGGAGUAUACUACUGAUAAUAUGGUGGUCUACUAGAAAUUUUGAUCAGUGGAAGACUACAUGAUAUCCGCUCCAGCUUCGUCUUCAUAAUCAUCAUCACUACUGUUGGGGUCGGAGUCGGUGUCGUCGAUGAUGAUGUAGUCUUCAGAACGGAUGUCGUUGGGAUGGUCGUCAUCUCCUCCUGGCACGGGGUCUCCCAUGAAUACUCCUAGCUUCCUUGUCAGUUCGUCAUUCUUCUCCACUAGUAUUGUGAUUUCCUCCUCGUAUCCGUCGCGUGUAGACUUGAGUUCCUCUUCUAGCUCCAUGUUCCUGGUCAUCACCUUCUUCAGAUCUAUCAUGCUUGCGCACAUCUGGUUCUCCUGGCGACGAAUGUGCUGGUUUAACUCCUGGAUGAAGGAUGCAAUGGACCUGUCCCUCCUGGUGCCGAUCAUCUCCCAUUGCUCAUCUCGGCGCCCACAUAUCUGGUAGAUGGUGUCCUUAAGAUCCUUGUUAUAAACUUCGCCGAUGCGUCCCAUGGCGAUGUGGGUUGCCAAGCUCUUUCCUAGACUCCAGGUUGGUGCAUCAAAGGAAUACUCUAUGGGCUCAGUGACUGGCAUGAAUGUCCUUUCUGGAACUUGAACUCGAAUCAUCCAACGCUUCUCUUCUGGUAAAGUGGCGGUGUAGGUCCCGGUGAAGCUUGGUAUUCCGAUGUUCAGGUACCUAGUGACUUCCUUCAAGUGUCUCCCGAAGGAUGUGUCUUCAUCCGGUUGUGCAAACUUGUUCCUUGAGUCUGCCAUCCAAAAGAGUAGAAAAUGGAGAGGAGUCAGAAAUGACUAGAGAAGAGUGACCUAUGGCUCAACUUAGUGGUCGUGUCCUACAUUCAGCGUGUGCUCUGAUACCAUCUUGUAGCGAUCUGACCUCAGGCGGUCAAAUCUCUGUGUAUAAGUGUCAUCCCUGGAUCGGUAAUGUUGACACACACAUUACUUGAAGGAUUUAUAACAGAGUGCAAUCACACACUUAUUACAUCGAAUGUCUCAAAAGAGAACUUAUUACAAUAAAUAUGGCUUAAGGCCAUAUAAACAAAAUAACAACGGAAGGCUUGGAAGAUAAAGUGAGUCCAUCAACUCCAACGGCAUAGCUGAGUGCACGACAAUGACCUAGCGCACCUUACUCUUCAUCUGAAAAGUCUGCAACAUGAUAUGUUGCAGCCCAAAACGGGUCAGCACAUGGAAUAUGUUGGCAAUAUAGCACAGUAGAGCAAUGAACAAUAAAUGCUAUCACUACAUGCAUAUAUGGCUGGUGGAGGCUCUAUGGUUACAAUGUUUUUGCGAAAAGCCAAUUUUUUCCUACAUCAAAGGAAUAUAUUUUGUUUAACUAUCAAGGUAGUUGAUAAACAUUGAGAAUGGUAAAAACCCAUCUCAAUCCCAAUUAAACAAGUAAUUAGCAACCCAACAAAUUAAUUUAGAGUGAUGAGAUCAACAUGAUAAUUCAAGAACCAGAUACUCAAGAUGUCCAUAACCAUGGACACGGCUAAUCAUGAUUAGUGUGUACACUAUGCAGAGGUUUGCGCACUUUUCCCCACAAGACUCGAUCUCCGCCGUUGGAUUUCUCGCACUACAUGGUGUUUGAGAAACGGAUGACCGAGACAUAGUCUUUCAAAAACAUUAACUCUUUACUCUGGGUGGACAGUUAGACCUACUUUCCCCUACAUCUGCUAGCCCACCACUGAAAGAGGUCAUGCAACAUACUCAACUAUGCUAGAGCCCAUAAUAGCUUGUGGCUGCACACGGAAGUUUCUAGCAUGAAUAAUCUUAUGAUCCCUUUGAGCUUGGGUGGCGAACCAAAAGGACAGCACUGGUAUAUCCCCAGGUGCCCGCAACCAAUCCAGCCAGAUGUGUGUUUAAGUAGACACCUUAAGUUAACCAAUAAUUAGCAAUCUCACAUCUGUCAUGGAUACACUCAAAUCCAAACCACGUCUACGAGCAUAGCAUGGCAAUAUAAGCGUAAUGUAGAAGUAACUCCCAAGGGUUUGAUAAUAAAAGGGCAAUAGGUUCUACUUCAUCAUCUACUUCCCAAUACCCACAAGUUAAAUCACAUCCUAACCAUGCAGUGUUUGAGGAUUGUAACUAAUGCAUGAAAACUGGGUAUGAAAAUAGUAUGAUCAAUGUGUUACUUGCCUUGCUGACGAUCCGCAAACCCUAGAGACUCGUAUUAGCACGCUUCGCACUCCGGAAAUUCUAUCGCAAACAAACAAUAGCAUACAUAGGCACUCCAGCAAUGAUGCACAGGUAAAACUCAAAUAAGAAGAUCCAAACUGAAAGUUCAACUGAAGAGCUUCGAUUUCCAAAAAGAAUCAAUCGAAUCGGAGCUAUGGAACUGAAACUAUGGUCAAAAGAAUUUUGAAUUCAAAUCUUCUUGAAACCAAAUUUUAAAUUUUCAAAACCUUGUUCAAGUUGAUUAAACAGAAAGAGGGGCUCGAGAUGAAGAUUUU
rnacentral:lncRNA from 1 species